ACAUGCUGUAUGAGGGAACUGUUGUGGAAUUUUGGAUUUCAUGGCAGUCAUAUAGAAAUAUUAAUAAACAACCAGAUAAUUUAUAUUUAGAAUCAUUUACCACUUACAAGCUGCAUUUAGAGUUACAGAAUAGCUGAACAGAUACUAUCAGUUAAAAACAAACAAACUCAUCUUUCAUUCAUAAAACAAAUUUUACAGUUCAAGGGAGCCAACUCAGAUUUUAAAAAAACAACACUAAAAUGCCCUUGCUUUCACAGAAAUUGUCACCUUUCAGAAUGUAAUCAGUUUUAUAGUUUUGGAUUGAGUAUGAAGUACAUUGGCAUUUUAGAAUAGAUAGAUGCUUCAGUAAUUUCUAUAAAUGCAACAUUGUAUUUUCAUAACCAAUUAACUGCUACCAUACCAUAUAUUUAUUCAGGUCUAUAGGACUGUGAUGUGUGUACCAGUCUGUCAGGCUAUCCCAUUCUUUCCAGUCAACAAAUUGGCAAUGGCUACAUGGAUUCUCGAGUAACUUGGCAUUACUUUUCACAGUAAUAAAGACAGAUUGCAAAAGCUUUUAGAGAAAUAUAUGAGGCAGAGCUAUCAGCAGUAUGCCAGAGACACAGCAAGAAGUACACAUUGUUUUGCACAGAUUUGUGUUCCACAUGUAUGGCCUCAGUGGAAUUGUCAUAGUAUAAGAAAUCCCAGACACUACAAGCCUGCUCAGUAGCCAUAUGAAAUAAAUACAACUGAUCUGUACAGAUUUGAAGCAACAACCUGAUAGAACGUUUUACCUGUUGUGUAGACAGGAUAAGCUAGCUUGGUGAAAGGCAAAGGAGGAAAAUGACCUUAGAAAAGACAAUAUACAACAGGUAAAAGACCCAAAGGACCGGAAUGUCUGUCAUUCAGGUUAACAUCAGAGUUGGACAGCUUCUUGUAACAGGUAGUUUGAUGCACAGUGUGAUUA